CUUGCUUCUCUUGAGAGCGGCGGACGGGUGAGUAAAGCCUAGGAAUCUGCCUGAUAGUGGGGGAUAACGUUCGGAAACGGACGCUAAUACCGCAUACGUCCUACGGGAGAAAGCAGGGGACCUUCGGGCCUUGCGCUAUCAGAUGAGCCUAGGUCGGAUUAGCUAGUUGGUGAGGUAAUGGCUCACCAAGGCGACGAUCCGUAACUGGUCUGAGAGGAUGAUCAGUCACACUGGAACUGAGACACGGUCCAGACUCCUACGGGAGGCAGCAGUGGGGAAUAUUGGACAAUGGGCGAAAGCCUGAUCCAGCCAUGCCGCGUGUGUGAAGAAGGUCUUCGGAUUGUAAAGCACUUUAAGUUGGGAGGAAGGGCAUUAACCUAAUACGUUAGUGUUUUGACGUUACCGACAGAAUAAGCACCGGCUAACUCUGUGCCAGCAGCCGCGGUAAUACAGAGGGUGCAAGCGUUAAUCGGAAUUACUGGGCGUAAAGCGCGCGUAGGUGGUUUGUUAAGUUGGAUGUGAAAUCCCCGGGCUCAACCUGGGAACUGCAUUCAAAACUGACUGACUAGAGUAUGGUAGAGGGUGGUGGAAUUUCCUGUGUAGCGGUGAAAUGCGUAGAUAUAGGAAGGAACACCAGUGGCGAAAGCGACCACCUGGACUAAUACUGACACUGAGGUGCGAAAGCGUGGG
rnacentral:rRNA from 1 species